UACGUAGGGGGCAAGCGUUGUCCGGAUUUAUUGGGCGUAAAAGGCUUGUAGGUGGCCACGCCAAGUCGGAUGUGAAAUCUCCCGGCUCAACUGGGAGGGGUCAUUUGAUACGUGCGGGCUUGAGUUCGGAAGAGGGUCGUGGAAUUCCCAGUGUAGAGGUGAAAUUCGUAGAUAUUGGGAAGAACACCGGUGGCGAAGGCGGCGACCUGGUCCGAUACUGACGCUGAGGCGCGAAAGCGUGGGGAGCAAACAGG
rnacentral:rRNA from 1 species